rnacentral:lncRNA from 1 species
UUUCAUUUUUAAUUGUACAUAUGUGAUUAAAACAGACAUCUAAAUUUUUGCAUGUGCUUCUAGAGACUAGACAACUAUCAAUUUUGAAGCCGAGGGCGUCUGUACUAUUUCAUACAGAAGAGGGAGUCUCAUGAGAGCAUUCAAAGAAGGGAAACCAUACCAGAGCUCUGGGACACAUCGGGCUCCCUAUUUGAUCCUCACAGUGGCCCAUGAGUCAAGCAUUACCUGGAUUCUACAAGCUUAACAAUAAUAACAACACAACUGGGCUCCACAAAGAAUCAAUUCUGAUUUAUUCCUCUGUGAUCAACCUGAUCCUGACGCCAUUCUUUCAUCACAAGUACAAAGCUUGAUCAUUAAAGUUUCAAGUUGAGAAGCUUUUGAUUUUAAAUAAGAAGUUUUGAUGACAACGUCCUGGAAAGAGGGAUUCGGAUGUUUUUAUCAUCUUCUCCUUACAUAUUUGAAUACUUUGGAAGAGUUCAGAGCAAGGCAC